AUUGAACGCUGGCGGCAGGCCUAACACAUGCAAGUCGAACGAGUGGCGGACGGGUGAGUAAUGUCUGGGAAACUGCCCGAUGGCGGGGGAUAACUACUGGAACAGGUAGCUAAUACCGCAUACCAUCGGAUGUGCCCAGAUGGGAUUAGCUAGUAGGUGGGGUAACGGCUCACCUAGGCCACGAUCCCUAGCUGGUCUGAGAGGAUGACCAGCCACACUGGAACUGAGACACGGUCCAGACUCCUACGGGAGGCAGCAGUGGGGAAUAUUGGACAAUGGGCGCAAGCCUGAUGCAGCCAUGCCGCGUGUGUGAAGAAGGCCUUCGGGUUGUAAAGCACUUUCAGCGAGGAGGCGUUACUCGCAGAAGAAGCACCGGCUAACUCCGUGCCAGCAGCCGCGGUAAUUC
rnacentral:rRNA from 1 species